CCUACGGGUGGCAGCAGUGGGGAAUAUUGCACAAUGGGGGAAACUCUGAUGCAGCGAUGCCGCGUGCGUGAAGACGUCUUUCUGUAUGUAAAGCUCCAUUUGCAGGGGAGAAAAUCACGGUACCUGUUUAAGAAUCCCCGGCUCCCUCCGUUACAGCACGCGAGGCAACACGUCGGGGGCCAGCGUUAUCCGGAUUUACCGGGUGUAAAGGGGGCGUAGGCGGCGGGAAAAGUGUGAGGGGAAAUGCCGGGGCUUAACCCCGGAACUGCUUUGGAUACUGUGGGGCUAGAGUGCAGGCGAGGUAGGUGGAAUGCAUGGUGUAGCGGUGAAAUGCAUAGAGAUUAGGAAGAACACCGAUGGCGAAGGCAGCUUACUGGACUGUAACUGACGUUGAGGCUCGAAAGCGUGGGGAGCAAACAGGAUUAGAUACCCCAGUAGUC
rnacentral:rRNA from 1 species